CCCCCUGGGUCCGCCCCCAGCCCUGCUUCCCCGCCCUCCCUCUGCCCCCUCCACUUUCAUGGCUCCGCGGCCAUCCCUUAAAGGGACAGCCCACUCCUUUCUCCGCGCUGGCCCGCGCCCGGGUUACCCUGCGCCCGGAGGUCGCAGCUACAGCACUGCAGGAAAGGAAGGGGCUCCUUGCAAGAGGCCCUUGACUCCUUUCCAAGCAGGGCUCUUUCCUCCAGUCUGAACAACUUUAAAGCGGCGUCCUCUGGCCCUGCCUAAUUAGCCCUCCUCUUUUCUGACGAAAAUGGCGCUACAGACCCACUACCAGAGAGCAUGCGCUCUGAGGGCUCCUCCGGAACAGCGCAGGCUCAGAUACCCGACAGCUUGAGUUUGUGCACCUACAGAGCUAGAAAAUUCUACCAGCGGCAGCUCUGGAUGGUGUCAGCACCCUCCAGGUGCAAUUCUUCCCCUUGAGGCUGUGCCAAAGACUCCUAGUCACUCUCACAUAUAACAACUCUUCAAAAAUACGAACCGGCUCCCUUGACCACCCCUUCCCCUGAGAAUACCCAGGAUUAACAUCCACGUGCUCUUCAACCUCUUCUCGCAUCACAUGGAUUCAAGCCUCCUCCCUUUCCAGUCCGGUGCCUUCGGUUUGCCCAGUUUCUCCUAAUGUCCCAGAAUGCAAUGCAAGCCAAUGGUGACCUGGUGUGACCGGUUCUGAGAUCAGAAAAAAAUUUUUAAAAAAAACAAAACUCAGAUGGGAGAAAAAGCAAUGUAAACGUAAAAGAACUUCUCUCACUUAGCUGCAAGGAAAACACUGUCUAAUUGGAAGAGGACAAAGAAACAUGAGCGCAAGAUAGUCAAAGAC